AUUGAACGCUGGCGGCAGGCUUAACACAUGCAAGUCGAGCGGGGGGAGGUAGCUUGCUACCGGACCUAGCGGCGGACGGGUGAGUAAUGCUUAGGAAUCUGCCUAUUAGUGGGGGACAACAUCUCGAAAGGGAUGCUAAUACCGCAUACGUCCUACGGGAGAAAGCAGGGGAUCUUCGGACCUUGCGCUAAUAGAUGAGCCUAAGUCGGAUUAGCUAGUUGGUGGGGUAAAGGCCUACCAAGGCGACGAUCUGUAGCGGGUCUGAGAGGAUGAUCCGCCACACUGGGACUGUGACACGGACCAGACUCCUACGGGAGGCAGCAGUGGGGAAUAUUGGACAAUGGGGGGAACCCUGAUCCAGCCAUGCCGCGUGUGUGAAGAAGGCCUUAUGGUUGUAAAGCACUUUAAGCGAGGAGGAGGCUACUUUAGUUAAUACCUAGAGAUAGUGGACGUUACUCGCAGAAUAAGCACCGGCUAACUCUGUGCCAGCCGCCGCGGUAA
rnacentral:rRNA from 1 species